AGUUUACUUCAGAAGCACAUUACUAAAAUAGGAAUGAUGCAGACAAGAUUAGCGUGUCUUCUGUGCAAGAAUGACAUGUAAUUUGUGACACAUUUCUUCAUUUU